UACGUAGGGUGCAAGCGUUGUCCGGAAUUAUUGGGCGUAAAGAGCUCGUAGGCGGUUUGUUGCGUCGGCUGUGAAAUCCCGAGGCUCAACCUCGGGUCUGCAGUCGAUACGAGCAAACUAGAGUGUUGCAGGGGAGACUGGAAUUCCUGGUGUAGCGGUGAAAUGCGCAGAUAUCAGGAGGAACACCGGUGGCGAAGGCGGCAUCCUGGACCAUUACUGACACUGAAAAGCGAAAGCCAGGGGAGCAAACGGG
rnacentral:rRNA from 1 species